CAUCAAAGUUACCAGAGCUUUGCUCUCCUUUAUUUUGUUUAUUUAUUUAUUUUUGAUCAGGGAGCAGGCUAGGGGUGAAUGCGGGGGUGACAGAGAGUAGAAGCUGGGGGCCUCUCGUUUAUGCACUAUCCACUAAACACUAACUGUGUGCAGUGCAAUGUUUAGAUGCUGUGGACUCAGGAGUGAACAAAAUUGGCAGAAAUUCCUGCCCUCACUGACCAGACUGUCCAUUCCAGUGGAACAUGAAGAAGACCAAGGUGCAAGCCUCCAGGACGCAGUGACCUACAGGUGCUCACUAGGAACCUCUUCAUCUUCUUCCUCUCUCCUACCCCUUCCAGACUUCACCAAGCAUAUAACUACCUUGUCACCCACUGUGUCACCAACCAGGACCCAGAUCGCUGCCUAAAACCUAGCAGGCAAUCCAGAAAUAUUGCUGAAUUGAAUGAACGUGGGUGAGGUGGCACAAGCCACCAUCCCAUGUCACACUCCUCUGGCGCCAAGCACUCGAGGGGGGAGACCUGUCCUGCCAAGGCUCUGACAAUCGACACCCCAGGGGCAGGCUCACCUUUGUAGUAGAAGAGGCAACGGUCCACCAGGACGAACCAGCGCUUGUUCCACUGCUUCACCCCGGAGCUGGCCUGCGGGACACGGGGAGAGACGGAUGUGAGGGGCUGUGGGCUGGGCAAGGAGGGGAAAGGGCACUCCACAGCUUAAAAGGACAUCCAGGCUCAGCUCUAACGUGUGGCAGCAACACCCUGGAGGUCACAGAGGCAGGGAAGGGACAUUAGAUUACUGCCUGUGACAUUCCAGCUCUGUCAUUCUGAGGCUCGGUGCCACCUCAUCAGGGGGAAGAUAAAAAGGGCAAGAAAUGAGCCAGAAUAAGUGAGCGGAAGGGCAGGCAGGGAUGAGGCCAGGCCAGUCAGUGGACACCUGUCACCCCCACCACGGCAAGAGGGACCUCAAAAAAAUACACAGACUGCCAUCAGCACAGAGGAGUCACGGCGCUGUCAGAGGUGGCUAUGGUGGGCAGAGCGCAGGGCGCCUCACCUGCUUGAAGAGCCAGCCUGCCUUGGUGACCGGCGCGUUGGGGUUCCGCUUCAUGGAGUGUGAACGCUUGCCAAAGGCGAUGGCUUUGCGGGAUGUUCGCGUCGCCUGGGGAAACAGGGAAAGACACCUGAGCUGCUUCCUCUCCUUCCCUCUGCUCCAUCUGCGAGGGUGCUGCCCCCUGAGGAGCAAGCUCUCUCCAGCUCACUGCUGGGUGCCCUCCUGCUGAGAACCAGUGGAGUCUCUCCCGGCUUCCUGAUCAUCACGUGAGCAACUUCCCUCCACCACACUCUUCCACCAUGAUGUCCUGCCUCAUCUCAAGCCCGAGGAAUGGAGCCAGCUGCUUAUGGAGUGAGAACUCUGAAGCUGUGAGCCCAGCCUCCAAAUAAAAUUUUCCUCCUCUAAAA